GGUGUAAGGUUCCAUAGGCAGCCUGAAGCGCACCUAGUAAAUGGCUAGCAAUGUCUGCUUCAUUAAACGGCUGUCCAUUGUCAUCUGUAGCUUGAAGAGCGUGCGAUAUGAAGUCUUUUCCCGAUGGUGAAUCCAGGCAGACAAUCUUUCUUUGCCUGAUCAUUUCCUCAAACUCUUCCCGCAUCAGCUUUGAUGCUUUAAUGGCGCGACGGAAAGCUGAUCCUGGAACAUCUAAGGAUGAUGUUUCAUUACUUCAUCCAUUUCACCAACGUACUAUCGAAGCACAUCGCCCUUAAGAAUGAACGCCAGGAGUUUACGCAGUGAUUUUGAGUGCUCAGUGUUGAGCUUGUUAUUUGACUUGGGAAAGAGUUUGUCAAAUGCGCUCGGCAACCAAUGCUUGAAAAGCUUAUUCUCGUUGGAGAACAGAAAUUUGUUGCCCUCAGCAUCGCAGAAGAUGGCCACAGGGAAUCCAAUCAAUGAUGUCCUGAAAAUAUUGGAGGAAUAUUUCUUCCUCCUAUCUGCUACAAACUUAUGAAGGCAACCUUGGUUAGCUCUGGAGAAAAAAUCCAAUGUUUCGCCUACAAGAGGCCAGCCUGAUCUUCCUGGCGGUAGCCUUGGCUUUUCAGCAGCUAAGUUGGGUUUUGAAAUUUGAGAUUUUUUUUCUCAAAAUAAACUGGUGAAGAAACAGAUAUAGGAUUGGAAUUAGAAACCAAAGAAGCAGAAGGAGAUGCUGAAAUUCCAUCACCAUGUUUGCCUUUGCUAGCUGUCUUGAGAGUCUUGAGACGGGAAGCAAAGAUUAGAUCAAGAAAGGAAAGCACAGUUACUCAAACUAGUAAUGAAUUGCAUAUUUGAAUCCUUACAUAUACUGAUUUCCAGCUAACAUUGAUAAGAAUCUUUCUGUCGAC